GAUAAAAUGGCCGAGUUUCAGGCAAUAAAUUGUAAAUUUAUUUACGAAAAAAUAAUUUUCUUUUAUCA
rnacentral:tRNA from 1 species